UCUGGUUCCAAAAAAUAAAUAAAUAAAUAAUAAAUAAAUAAAUUUCUACAAAAAAGCAAAGUAAUCUAUAGUGAUGAAGAGCUGACUAGUAGUUUAUUCUUGCCAGGAGAGCAGAGAUGCAUGAACUGCAGACAAGCACAAGGAGACAUUUGAGGCUGUUUCAGGUAUUUUACGUAUAUGUCUACUGUCCGGAAGUCUGAAGCUUGAGACACUCGUCAACGUAAACUGUAUGUACAAAGACUGGCACUCUCUUGCUUGCCACUAUACUUUAAGCAUAAUUCUAAGAAUACAAGAAGCAGUCAACUCCUUCUUGGGAAGGUGACAUUUUAAAAAAUGGACUAGCUGCAGUUUAAAAAACACCCUGAAGCUACAGCUUCCAUUGGAAUUUGAGAGCUUCUCUAAAUUUUACACCUGAUAGCUUCUUCCAAUUUUGUCUGCCUUAUUUAGUUUAAGGAAUUAUUUCUGGCCUAGCACAGUGGCUCACGCCUGUAAUCCCAGCAUUUUGGGAGCCAAAGGCGGGCUGAUCACUUGAGGUCAGGAGUUUGAGACCAGCUUGGCCAACAUAGCAAAACCUUAUAUCUACUAAAAAUACAAAAAUUAGCUGGGCGUGGUGUUGUGUACCUGUAGUCCCAGCUACUGAGGAGGCUGAGGCAGAAGGAUUGCUUAAACCCAAAGGUUUCAGUGGGCUGAGAUCAUGCUGUGGCACUCCAGCCUGGGCAACAGAGCAAGCUUCUGUCUCAAAAAAAAACAAAAAAAAAAGAAAAGAAAAAAAAAACAGAAUUAUUUCUGUAAAUACUGUCAGCUUAAUGAUGGGCUUAUGACCUUGGGAACAGUAAAGCUAAGUAGAUACCACAUCUUUUUUCCCCCAUCACUGCAGUGGUUAUGAGACUGUUUUAGGUUUGUAAUAAAGAAUGAG
rnacentral:lncRNA from 1 species